CUAGCCUGACAAGCCAGGCCCACAACAAAUUACAUUUGCUGCCGCUUUUCUCUGAAUGUUCACAUUUAUUAGAAACCUAAUAAUGCAAAAAGCAGGGCAUCAAAAACAUUGUUAAACCUCUUCGUGUUCCUUUCCAUGGAAAUUUUGAGUAGCACAAAGCUGCAAUACCAGAGGCUGGGCCGCAAUCCUAGGAUCGCAUUUCUAGGACCAUAGUUUUUCGCGACUACUGAAGUUGGUGACCAAAUGGUCAGGACCGCAUUUCUACCAUGGAUGUAGCUAUUAUAUUGACGAUUUCUAUCGCAAAAUGGACGACCAAUAUGACAAGCAGAGUUGAAGUGGAGGAAAUCAGUAACGUUAGAGGAAUUAAUUGAAUUGAGGAAAGAAGGAAGACUGUUCAAUUGGUACUUCACAAUUUGGGGUUUCCAUAUUGAAGGGUCGGGAAAAGUCAAAUGUUAAUAACAUUUAAUUAAUUUCUAUUUGGUUUCCUUGCAUUUCUCUCUCUCUUUCUAGCAGGGAUCAUUGAGAACCGUCAUCCUCCACUGUUUGUGUCAUGCAUGCUCACUCGGUCAUCAGCACAAACAGAAACACCAUAUUUGAGUCUUUUAGACUUGUUUGCUUCUGACGGCGCUGUAGUAAAGUAAUAAUAAUAAAGAAAUACGGUCCAGAAAAUGCAGCCUCCUGUCACUAGGUGGCGCUGUAGGGAAAAACUAGGGUUCUGGAAAUGCUAUCCUAGAAAGGCGGUCCUGAAAAUGCAGCCUCCGGUACUGCAGGAACAUUGUAUUGGUCCAGUCUGAGAAAAUUAACUUAUUAAAUUUAGUGAUAUAAUGAUUUAUUAAGCGCUUAACCUACAAGUCCAGUAUGACUUCCAUUCCAUGCUUCCAUUAGAUGGCGCUGCACACAGAAUUAUUUCCUUAUAGACAGGAUAGAUUAUUUCAUCAGUGUAUUUAAAAUCUUGGUACAAUGUGAAAACACUCACAAUUGUCAAUUAUUACACAUGAAGCAUAGCCUAAUAAGCUGCUAGCUAGCUUAAAAUGUUGGUUACUUGAACACGGGGGGAGCAUGAAACGUAAUGGGUUUCUGAUCUCAUUCUUUAUUUAAGAUAACUUGUCUGGUUGGUUGAUCUAGGCUACUUGCAGUAUUUGUUGGCUUGAAAUUCCACAGAUAGGCUGAGGCAGUGGCAUAAUCUCACCAGACUUGUCAGUGAUUUUUACAUUUCCCGGAGAGAGCCCUUGUCAUUUUGUCAGCCUCCCCGUGGCUACAGUAUGCGGGGACAGCGGGGAGGGCUGUCAAACUGUGCCCGCCUGAGAGCGCCUUUCUCUGGGUUGAUGAGUCAUAAUAAGGUCCGGCCAGGUGGUGAAAUAUGAGCAGGGAGGACUGUGUGUGUGUGUGUGUGUGU